rnacentral:rRNA from 1 species
AGGACGAACGCUGGCGGCGUGCCUAACACAUGCAAGUUGAGCGACGAACCAGGGCUUGCCCUGGGGCAAAGCAGCGAACGGGUGAGUAACACGUGGGUAACCUGCCCCGAAAACUGGGACAACCCGAGGAAACUCGGGCUAAUACCGGAUGUGCUCUCCGGACUCAAGUCCGGCGAGUAAAGGAAGCUUCGGCCUCCGUUUCGGGAGGGGCCCGCGGCCCAUUAGCUUAGUUGGCGGUAAGGUACCG